GGGCGCAUGGUUUAGUGGUAUAACACUCCCUUAGCACUGGAAAACAGGAUUGGGAGAGGUCUAGGGUUCGAUUCCCUAUGUGUCCA